AGCUUGCUCCCUGAUGUUAGCGGCGGACGGGUGAGUAACACGUGGGUAACCUGCCUGUAAGACUGGGAUAACUCCGGGAAACCGGGGCUAAUACCGGAUGGUUGUUUGAACCGCAUGGUUCAAACAUAAAAGGUGGCUUCGGCUACCACUUACAGAUGGACCCGCGGCGCAUUAGCUAGUUGGUGAGGUAACGGCUCACCAAGGCGACGAUGCGUAGCCGACCUGAGAGGGUGAUCGGCCACACUGGGACUGAGACACGGCCCAGACUCCUACGGGAGGCAGCAGUAGGGAAUCUUCCGCAAUGGACGAAAGUCUGACGGAGCAACGCCGCGUGAGUGAUGAAGGUUUUCGGAUCGUAAAGCUCUGUUGUUAGGGAAGAACAAGUACCGUUCGAAUAGGGCGGUACCUUGACGGUACCUAACCAGAAAGCCACGGCUAACUACGUGCCAGCAGCCGCGGUAAUACGUAGGUGGCAAGCGUUGUCCGGAAUUAUUGGGCGUAAAGGGCUCGCAGGCGGUUUCUUAAGUCUGAUGUGAAAGCCCCCGGCUCAACCGGGGAGGGUCAUUGGAAACUGGGGAACUUGAGUGCAGAAGAGGAGAGUGGAAUUCCACGUGUAGCGGUGAAAUGCGUAAAGAUGUGGAGGAACACCAGUGGCGAAGCGACUCUCUGGUCUGUACUGACCUGAGAGCAAAGC
rnacentral:rRNA from 1 species